rnacentral:rRNA from 1 species
AGAGUUUGAUCCUGGCUCAGGACGAACGCUGGCGGUAUGGAUUAGACAUGCAAGUCAAACGGCCCUUCGGGGCAGUGGCAAACGGGUGAGUAACACGUUAGUAUCUUCCUCUUUGUCGGGCAAAACGAGCUGAAAAGCUCGCUAAUUCCCGAUGGCUCUUCGGAGUAAAGACUUGUCGCAAAGAGAGGAACUUGCGUCCUAUCAGCUUGUUGGUAAGGUAACUGCUUACCAAGGCUAUGACGGGUAGCUGGACUGAGAGGUUGACCAGCCACAUUGGGACUGAAACACGGCCCAGACUCCUACGGGAGGCAGCAGUCGAGAAUCUUGCGCAAUGGGCGAAAGCCUGACGCAGCAAUACCGCAUGAUUGAAGAAGCCCUUCGGGGUGUAAAAAUCUUUUUGUGGGGAGGAUAUUGACGUUACCCACAGAAUAAGCACUUGCUAACUACGUGCCAGAAGCCUCGGUGAUACGUAGAGUGCGAGCGUUGUCCGGAUUUACUGGGCGUAAAGCGUCUCUAGGCGUUUUGGUAAGUCUUUACAUAAAGGCCCGUGCUCAACAUGGGACAUUGUAGAGAAACUGCCAGAAUAGAGGACGGGAGAGGCAGGGGGAACUGUCGGUGUAGCAGUGAAAUGCGUUAAUAUCGACGGGAACACCAAAAGCGAAGGCACCCUGCUGGAACGUUCCUGACGCUCACAGACGAAAGCGUGGGUAGCGAACGGGAUUAGAUACCCCGGUAGUCCACGCCCUAAACGAUGGAUACUAGACAUUGGAAGUUAUCGACCCUUCCUGUGUCGUAAGCUAACGCGUUAAGUAUCCCGCCUGGGUAGUACGGCCGCAAGGCUAAAACUCAAAGGAAUAGACGGGGACCUGCACAAGCGGUGGAGCAUGUGGUUCAAUUCGACAAUAAGCGAAGAACCUUACCUGGGCUUAGACGGCUAUUGAAUCUCAUUCGAAAGAAAGAGAGUGCCCUCGGGAGCAAUAGUCUCAGGUACUGCAUGGUUGUCGUCAGCUCGUGUCGUGAGAUGUUCGGUUAAGUCCGCAAACGAGCGCAACCCUCGUUACAUGUUAUAUUUUUCAUGUGAGACUGCCGAUUUUAAUUCGGAGGAAGGUGGGGAUGACGUCAAAUCAGCAUGGUCCUUGAUGUCCAGGGCGACACACGUGCUACAAUGGCGAGAUCUCAGGUUCAGCUGAGGUCCCACACGU